UUAGUUUCUGAAUAAAAAGAAGUUUUGAUUACAUUUCUAGCGAGAAAUAUAUAUUUUAUUUUCAUAAUAUUCACUCAGUGAAUUUACAUAAUCAUCGCUUGCUCGAUUUUACGCAGAUUUUUCAGAUCUCGCCAGAAUAAUGUGAAACUGAUACGUUUUGGUUGCUAUGGACACUGCCAGGGCUCGUCACAUGACGUCUUUUAAAGACUUUAUUAAAACCGCGUUCAGCUACAGGUAAAACAACAUUCAGAGGUGAUUUUAACAACGCUCCACGGCGCGUGAGAGUAAGCAUUUUAAGCGUUUUCUGAUCAUGUAGGUGUGCCACUGUGGGUGGCUCCCGCACACCCCCGUGGCUACGCCCCUGCCGUGACCCAAAUCUCGUUCGCACAUCAUCGCGAUGUUUAUCAUCAAUUUACAAACCUCGCCAGUCGCCUCAUCUUUGUUUUGACCAGUUAUGUCAGGAAGCUGCAACUAUUUCAAAGCAUCUUGAAAUGAAAGCUGACAAUGCUGAAUUUGAAGCAGCUACCAGAGAGGCUGAAGAAAUUCUACAAAUGUUUAAUCCUCCACUGCUGAAAAAGAAGACCAAACGAGUUAUUUCCUGGACUCAACAGACACAGUGAACUUUGCACUGCAUUUCAAAGCCAGCUUCUCAGCCGCAACACUGAGAACCAGAGUUGAAGUCAAUGUACUGCUGAGAAAGUGCAAGAUCUAUUUAACCAAAAAUAUAAGGAUGCCGGAGGUACUGGAAGGCUCCCCUACCAAUCCCUGGUAAAUCAUGGCAUGACAGUUAAAGUUGCAGGACUGCCCAACAGCCUCAAAAAGCCAUCCUAUUAUGGAAGGAACCAGUUGGAGGCCAUUUUGCAAGCUGCUGAGGAGAUUUCAUUUGAAAUCAAUGCAGCACAAUGCAACUCCACUGACAAAGCAGAAGGAAUGUUAGAGGCGAUGGACGCAGAAGAGCUGGAAGAACAGUCCUCAGAAACAGCCACCGCUGUAGCUAUCGUGAUGACUGCAGAUUAAGAUGGAGGCCAUUUGUGCUGUGUCUGCCGCAUCCUUUUCGAUGACAGGAAGAAGAAUGCUUCAGAGAAGUGGCGUUCAUGGUCACAGUGCACAGUGUGCCAAUCAUGGUCACACACUGCAUGUCAAGACACCAUGCAAACAGCCUGUAGCGCUGCAUCAGUGAUAGAAAACAUGCUAGUUACACAAAAUGUUUUAUGUUUUAACUUUGAGUUGUUUUUAUUUUGUUCAUGACCCCAUCCCUACAAACACACACACAUAUUUUUAUUUUAUUUUUAUGUAUUAGGUGCAAUUUAAUAUUUUUCAUGCAAAUGUAUUGUAAUGAUUACACUUAUAAGAAUAAAACAGAUUUUAAAUUCA